CCCUCCCCAUCGUCAGCAUCUUUCUUUCUCUUCCCAUCCCACUCCCUUCCCCACACGCUCUCCUUCCUUCCUUCCUUCUUCGCUUCUUCCGACGCCACUUCACCUCUCCUUCCUCCCUCCCUCGCCGCCGCGGGCUGCUUCCUCCCUCCCUCCCGCCGCGUCCCGCCACUCCCGGCUGAUUACUCGAGCCGCCGCGGGGCAGAUCCGUGCCGGGAUAGGCCUCUCGCUCGCGCUUCGGUCCCCCGUCUCUUACCGGCGGAUAAACCCUAACCGGAGAGGAGGAGGAGGGGGAGGCCAUGAGGGGGAAGAAGCCGCACAAGGAGCUCAAGCUCUCCGUGCCUGCGCAGGAGACGCCCGUCGACAAGUUCCUGACCGCGAGUGGUACAUUCAAGGAUGGUGAACUGCGGCUUAAUCAAAGAGGUUUGCAGCUUAUAUCCGAGGAAACUGCAGAUGAACCUCAGUCAACAAACCUGAAGGUGGAAGAUGUUCAGUUGUCAAUGGAUGACCUUGAGAUGAUUCAAGUCAUUGGUAAGGGGAGUGGUGGUAUCGUCCAACUAGUUCGGCACAAGUGGGUGGGGACAUUAUAUGCCUUGAAGGGCAUACAAAUGAACAUUCAAGAGGCAGUUCGCAAACAAAUAGUACAAGAGCUCAAAAUAAAUCAAGCAACACAGAACGCACAUAUAGUCCUUUGCCACCAAUCUUUCUACCAUAAUGGUGUAAUAUAUCUUGUUCUAGAAUACAUGGACCGUGGAUCUCUUGCAGAUAUCAUUAAACAAGUCAAAACAAUUCUGGAGCCAUACCUGGCAGUACUUUGCAAACAGGUUUUGGAGGGUCUACUGUAUCUUCAUCAUGAAAGGCAUGUGAUUCACAGGGAUAUAAAGCCAUCUAACUUGUUAGUUAACCGUAAAGGUGAAGUAAAGAUUACCGAUUUUGGGGUAAGUGCGGUGCUAGCAAGUUCAAUGGGUCAGCGGGAUACGUUUGUUGGAACCUACAACUAUAUGGCGUUUCUACCUUUCUUCCUAGUUCAGCCUGAGCGUAUUAGUGGAAGCUCCUAUGACUACAAGAGUGACAUAUGGAGUUUGGGCUUAGUAAUACUCGAGUGUGCCAUUGGUCGGUUCCCCUAUAUACCUUCAGAAGGGGAAGGUUGGUUAAGCUUCUACGAAUUAUUAGAAGCAAUUGUUGACCAGCCACCACCCUCUGCACCAGCGGACCAGUUCUCUCCAGAAUUUUGUGCAUUUAUCUCCUCCUGUGUCUUGUGUGCUCCUAUAUCUGAUUUCAUGACUAAUCUAUAAGGAUACAAGCAUGGCUUGAGGCAUACAAAAGGAUCCUGCGGAGCGGAUGUCUGCUUCAGAACUCUUGAAUCAUCCUUUCAUCAAGAAGUUUGAGGAUAAGGAUUUAGACCUGCGCAUUCUUGUCGAGAGCCUUGAACCUCCAAUGAAUAUAUCCGAGUAACUUGUCAUUGGGAGGAAUGAGGUUUUGUCGGUCUCUUGGUAGCGGCACAUGUUCCCUGCAUGCGAUGUAGUGUGUAUGAUGUUGAAAAUUCGGGAGGAGUUGCAGUAAUGUAUCGGUAUAAUUUUUCUUUACCUAAGGCCCUUUUGUUGCCUCUUUUUAUGGUCCUGUGACUUGCGAGCAUGACAAUAGAGGGAAUCAUGAUUUCACCUUCGUAUUGCAUGGUGUCUUAUCGUA